UACGAAGGGGGCUAGCGUUGUUCGGAAUUACUGGGCGUAAAGCGUGCGCAGGCGGCUUCUCAAGUCAGGGGUGAAAGCCCAGAGCUCAACUCUGGAAUUGCCUUUGAGACUGAGAGGCUUGAGUACGAGAGAGGUGAGUGGAAUUCCCAGUGUAGAGGUGAAAUUCGUAGAUAUUGGGAAGAACACCAAUGGCGAAGGCAGCUCUCUGGGACGGUACUGACGCUGAGACGCGAAAGCGUGGGGAGCGAACAGG
rnacentral:rRNA from 1 species